rnacentral:misc_RNA from 1 species
AACGCACAUUGCGCCCUUUGGUAUUCCGAAGGGCAUGCCUGUUCGAGCGUCAUUUCAACCCUCAAGCUCUGCUUGGUAUUGGGUCUCACCGCAUGGUGGGCCUUAAAAUCAGUGGCGGUGCCAUCUUGGCUCUAAGCGUAGUAAAUCUCUCGCUCUGGGACCUCGGUGGUGCUUGCCAGCAACCCCAAAUUUUCUAUGGUUGACCUCGGAUCAGGUAGGGAUACCCGCUGAACUUAA